AUAGCAGCCUUCCAGCAUCUGAAGGGGGGCUAUAGGGAUGCUGGGGAGGGACUCUUCAUUAGGGACUGUAGUGAUAGGACAAGGGGUAACGGGUUAAAACUUAAACAGGGGAAGUUUAUAUUGGAUAUAAGGAAGAAAUUCUUUACUGUUAGGGUGGUGAGGCACGGGGAUAGGUUGCCCAGGGAGGUUGUGAAUGCUCCAUUCCUGGCAGUGUUCAAGGCCAGGUUGGACAGGGCCUUGGGUGAGAUGAUUUAGUGUGAGGUGUCCCUGCCCAUGGCAGGGGGGUUGGAACUAGAUGAUCUUAAGGUCCUUUCCAACCCUAACUAUUCUAUGAUUCUAUGAUUCUAUGUUUAUCGCCCUGGUCUGGCUUAAGUCCUGGGAACAGUAAAGAAAACACCAGGUGCUCUUGCCCUGGACAGGCUUAAACCUUGGGAACGGUGAAGAAAACACCAGGUGUUAAUGCCCUGCUGGGGUCUAAGCCUUGGGAACUGUAAAGAGAACAAUGAAGGGUAAAGAUCGGUUAGCCAAACAAAGCAGGAGGUUUGCAAGGCGGUGCAUCUCAAAGACAGAUCGAACAGUGUGAAUAUUUGUAACCCUUAGUAGUUUUGCUAAAUCAGGAUGAUAAGGGAGUAAAAGAGUGGAAAGUUACUGCUUAGCACUUAGUAGACUAUAAAAGGGGUGCGAGACACGAAAUAAAGGUCUUCAGAUUUCACCAGA